rnacentral:rRNA from 1 species
AUGGCAAUUGUCCAUACAUACGGAAAGCCUGACAUCUUCUUGACCAUGACCUGCAACCCUAACUGGGAAGAGAUAACAAAUGAGUUGUUUCCUGGCCAGACUGCGCAAGACCGACCUGAUCUUGUGGCUUGUGUGUUCCAUGGCAAGCUAGAGGCUAUGAAAGAGAUGUUGUUCAAGAAGAAUAUCCUGGGUGUUGUUGUCGCACAUGUAUACGUAGUCGAGUUCCAAAAGAGGGGCCUCCCCCACGCACACUUUUUGUUGAUCAUGGAUUCUGCCUAUAAGCUUGUCGUUCCGGAGCAGUACGACCGACCCAUUUCUGCCGAGCUCCCAGACAAGCAAAAGUAUCCUGAACUCCACGCCUUGGUGGUGAAACAUAUGAUGCACGGACCAUGCGGUGCUCUCAACCCCAAAAAUGUUUGCAUGCAACAAAACGAGUGCAAGUGCAGAUACCCGCGGCCGUUCAAUGAAAACACGGCACAGGGCAAGGACUCAUACCCAGUUUAUCGUCGUCGAGAUAAUGGUCGGCAGGCUAAGGUCCGGGGUAAAAUGUUGGAAAACAGAUGGGUUUAG